UGUUCCCAGGGAAAGAAGUCAGGGUGACUGGUAGACCUAUGACAACAACAAAGUUUGCCAACCACUGCUCUAUUUCAUGGCUAGCUGAAAUCUUACACAACAAUUGAAGGUCAAUUUCUUCAGUUAUAGCCUCAGGGGAGACAGAAAAUGACCCAUCAGUGCCAUCUCUAGAAGACAGCAAAGCAUUGUAAGAAAACUGUGAGUUACGGACCCAGACACACAUGAACUUGAAACCAACUCCAUUUCAUGCCUGAAGUGUGACUGGAGAAGAUGCCUAAGUUCCCUGUGAGCUGUGCCCAUUCAGCACGUAUGGACAUCACUGUGUUGCAGAGUUGUAAGGAUGAAGUGUAAUUCUUAAAUCCUAAGGUUGCUUUGAGGACUAAAAACUUUCAUGUAUAUCAGGUAAUUAGCAAAGUGCCUGGCACUUAGCAAAAGCUCUAUAAAUGCCAU